ACACGACUACAUUAGAUACCCGCGUAGUCCCAGCCCUAAACGAUGCGCGUUAGGUGUAUCGGUGACCACGAGUCACCGAGGUGCCGAAGGGAAACCGUGAAACGUGCCGCCUGGGAAGUACGGUCGCAAGGCUGAAACUUAAAGGAAUUGGCGAGGGAGCACCACAACGGGUGGAGCCUGCGGUUUAAUUGGACUCAACGCCGGGAAGCUCACCGGAUAAGACAGCGGAAUGAUUGCCGGGCUGAAGACCCUGCAUGACCAGCUG
rnacentral:rRNA from 1 species